rnacentral:rRNA from 1 species
CCCCUAGAUGUUCUGGGCCGCACGCGCGCUACACUGAACAGUUCAACAAGUCUUAACCUUGGCCGAUAGGUCUGGGUAAUCUUUGAACGCUGUUCGUGAUUGGGAUAGACCUUUGCAAUUAUGGGUCUUCAACGAGGAAUUCCUAGUAAACGCAAGUCAUCAGCUUGCAUUGAUUACGUCCCUGCCCUUUGUACACACCGCCCGUCGCACCUACCGAUUGAAUGGUCCGGUGAAAUCUCGGGACGGCGGCUUGCUCGCUUGCGUCCGACUGCUGAAACUUGAUUAAACCAUAUCAUUUAGAGGAAGGUGAAGUCGUAACA